GAUGAAGAACGUAGCGAAAUGCGAUAAGUAAUGUGAAUUGCAGAAUUCAGUGAAUCAUCGAAUCUUUGAACGCACAUUGCGCCCAUUAGCAUUCUAGUGGGCAUGCCUGUUCGAGCGUCAUUUCAACCCUUAAGCCCUGUUGCUUAGCGUUGGGAGCCUACAGUACUGUAGCUCCCCAAAGUUAGUGGCGGAGUCGGUUUCACACUCUAGACGUAGUAAUUUUUUCUCGUCUGUAGUUGAGCCGGUCCCCUGCCGAAAAACACCCAAUUUAUCAAGGUUGACCUCGGAUCAGGUAGGAAUACCCGCUGAACUUAAGCAUAUCAAUAAGCGGAGGA
rnacentral:misc_RNA from 1 species